rnacentral:rRNA from 1 species
UACGUAGGGUCCGAGCGUUGUCCGGAAUUACUGGGCGUAAAGAGCUCGUAGGUGGUUUGUCGCGUUGUUCGUGAAAACUCACAGCUUAACUGUGGGCGUGCGGGCGAUACGGGCAGACUGGAGUACUGCAGGGGAGACUGGGAAUUCCUGGUGUAGCGGUGGAAUGCGCAGAUAUCAGGAGGAACACCGGUGGCGAAGGCGGGUCUCUGGGCAGUAACUGACACUGAGGAGCGAAAGCGUGGGGGAGCGAACAGG